rnacentral:rRNA from 1 species
GACGAACGCUGGCGGCGUGCUUAACACAUGCAAGUCGAACGAUGAACCCGGAGCUUGCUCCGGCGGAUUAGUGGCGAACGGGUGAGUAACACGUGAGUAACUUGCCCUUGACUCUGGGAUAACUGCUAGAAAUGGUAGCUAAUACCGGAUACGACCCUCGGUGGCAUCACCAGGGGGUGGAAAGAAUUUCGGUCAAGGAUGGACUCGCGGCCUAUCAGCUAGCUGGUGGGGUAACGGCUCACCAAGGCGACGACGGGUAGCCGGCCUGGGAGGGUGAACGGCCACACUGGGACUGAGACACGGCCCAGACUCCUACGGGGGGCAGCAGUGGGGAAUAUUGCACAAUGGGCGCAAGCCUGAUGCAGCAACGCCGCGUGAGGGAUGACGGCCUUCGGGUUGUAAACCUCUUUUAGUAGGGAAGAAGCGAAAGUGACGGUACCUGCAGAAAAAGCACCGGCUAACUACGUGCCAGCCGCCGCCGUAA